rnacentral:rRNA from 1 species
GAUGAACGCUAGCGGCAGGCCUAAUACAUGCAAGUCGAACGGCCCCGACACUUCGGUGUCGGGGUAGUGGCGCACGGGUGCGUAACACGUACACAACAUACCCUUUACAGGGGGAUAGCGGCGGGAAACUGCCAGUAAUACCCCAUGUCCUUGUCGAGGUGGCAUCAUUUUGCAAAGAAAGUUCAAGCGGUAAAGGAUUGGUGUGCGUCCGAUUAGCUAGUUGGCGGGGUAACGGCCCACCAAGGCGACGAUCCGUAGCUGGUCUGAGAGGAUGAUCAGCCACGCUGGAACUGAGACACGGUCCAGACUCCUACGGGAGGCAGCAGUGGGGAAUAUUGGACAAUGGGGGCAACCCUGAUCCAGCCAUGCCGCGUGUGUGAAGAAGGCCUU